UACGGAGGGUGCAAGCGUUAUCCGGAAUCAUUGGGUUUAAAGGGUCCGCAGGCGGGAAAAUAAGUCAGUGGUGAAAUCUCUCGGCUCAACCGAGAAACUGCCAUUGAUACUGUUUUUCUUGAAUUCGAUCGAAGUGGGCGGAAUGUGACAUGUAGCGGUGAAAUGCUUAGAUAUGUCACAGAACACCGAUAGCGAAGGCAGCUCACUAGGUCUGGAUUGACGCUCAGGGACGAAAGCGUGGGGAGCGAACAGG
rnacentral:rRNA from 1 species